UACGAAGGGAGCUAGCGUUGUUCGGAAUCACUGGGCGUAAAGCGCACGUAGGCGGACGUGUCAGUCAGGGGUGAAAUCCCGGAGCUCAACUUCGGAACUGCCUUUGAUACAGCACGUCUUGAGUCCGGAAGAGGUGGGUGGAAUUCCUAGUGUAGAGGUGAAAUUCGUAGAUAUUAGGAAGAACACCGGUGGCGAAGGCGGCCCACUGGUCCGGUACUGACGCUGAGGUGCGAAAGCGUGGGGAGCAAACAGG
rnacentral:rRNA from 1 species